AGGCAACAUUGGUCCUUACAGCUUAUAUCCCCCACACAAAAGGGCAGCUCUGAAUCUUCCACCAGGAUGGAAAAACCGCUGGCAAUACCUGAACUAUUACUACCUGGGCAAGAGGCCCUCCCGCCGCUUCCUCCGGGUGAACGUCUGAACUCAAUCCAAAGUUUCUGGUUAUGUUCAACAAAGGAAAACCCACCUUUGCAUCUGUAGAAUUAAAGACAAUUUUAAAGAAACAGGAAGAGUUAUCCAUCACAAAAUCAAAACGGCUUUCAUCCCAUUAACUGUAUUACAGUGACUGUAUUUCCCCCAGUAUGUUAUUGGCAUUAAGCUCUU